AACGAACGCUGGCGGCAGGCCUAACACAUGCAAGUCGAACGCCGUAGCAAUACGGAGUGGCAGACGGGUGAGUAACGCGUGGGAACCUUCCCUAUGGUUCGGAAUAGCUCAGGGAAACCUGGGGUAAUACCGGAUAAGCCCUUCGGGGGAAAGAUUUAUCGCCAGUGGAGGGGCCCGCGUCGGAUUAGCUAGUUGGUGGGGUAACGGCCUACCAAGGCGACGAUCCGUAGCUGGUCUGAGAGGAUGAUCAGCCACACUGGGACUGAGACACGGCCCAGACUCCCACGGGAGGCAGCAGUGGGGAAUAUUGGACAAUGGGCGAAAGCCUGAUCCAGCCAUGCCGCGUGAGUGACGAAGGCCUUAGGGUUGUAAAGCUCUUUUGGCGGGGAAGAUAAUGACGGUACCCGCAGAAUAAGCUCCGGCUAACUUCGUGCCAGCCGCCGCAGUAAUAC
rnacentral:rRNA from 1 species